AGAGUUUGAUCAUGGCUCAGAAUCAACGCUGGCGGCGCGCUUAACACAUGCAAGUCGAACGAGAAAGGGGAGCAAUCCCUGAGUAAAGUGGCGUACGGGUGAGUAACACGUGGGUAAUCUACCUCUUGGUGGGGAAUAACCCUGGGAAACCGGGGCUAAUACCGCAUAAGCUCGGAAGAGGAAAGGUGCAAAUCGCCGAGAGAGGAGCCCGCGGCCGAUUAGCUAGUUGGUAGGGUAACGGCCUACCAAGGCGACGAUCGGUAGCCGGCCUGAGAGGGCACACGGCCACACUGGCACUGAAACACGGGCCAGACUCCUACGGGAGGCAGCAGUGGGGAAUCUUGCACAAUGGGGGAAACCCUGAUGCAGCGACGCCGCGUGAGCGAUGAAGCCCUUCGGGGUGUAAAGCUCUUUCGGCAGGGACGAUAAUGACGGUACCUGAAGAAGAAGCUGCGGCUAACUACGUGCCAGCAGCCGCGGUAAUACGUAGGCAGCGAGCGUUGUUCGGAGUUACUGGGCGUAAAGCGUGCGUAGGCGGUGGUCCAAGUCUGGUGUGAAAUCUCCCGGCUUAACUGGGAGGGUGCGCCGGAAACUGGGCUGCUGGAGUGUGGGAGAGGUAAGCGGAAUUCCUGGUGUAGCGGUGAAAUGCGUAGAUAUCAGGAGGAACACCUGCGGUGUAGACGGCUUACUGGACCAUGACUGACGCUGAGGCACGAAAGCGUGGGGAGCAAACAGGAUUAGAUACCCUGGUAGUCCACGCCCUAAACGAUGCAUACUUGGUGUGGGCAGUUCAGUCUGUCCGUGCCGUAGCUAACGCGUUAAGUAUGCCGCCUGGGGAGUACGGUCGCAAGGCUGAAACUCAAAUGAAUUGACGG
rnacentral:rRNA from 1 species